AAUUUAGGAGAUGUAACUUUUGGAUUUGGACCAAACCCCCAUUUGACUUCAAACUUGGCUCCUAAAUUUAACAGAUUAAGAAAAGUGGGGAGUGUUGGAGAACUUUUAUUUUCUCAUACAUGUUUCAACAAAAGAUAUUCUGCAAUGUCUACCACAUUGUUCUGGAUUCAAACAUUAGGACUCAGCAGGCCUACAGCAGGCUUUAGCUUGGCAGUGGUUUACUCAGAAAGCAGCUGGGUAAGAACUACAAGUGGCCAGCAGAGCAACACUGGGCCUCCUUCAGAAGACGACUUUUUAACAGCAGUCUCGUGUAGCACAGCAUCCACACAACUAUGAACCAUCGUAUCCCCAAGUGACAAGUCCUCAGAAGGGACAGGCAGUUCCAGGUUUUCACCCUCUCAGAAACCCAGUUAGAGCUUCCUAUACAUAUCUGGAGUUUUCUCUGUCCAGUUGCAACUUCUCAGUGAGGGUCAUUUUUAACAGGCGUGAAGUUCCCUGUCGACACAUACUGUCCCAUACAGUUUUCAGGGUAAUAUGACACAGGUUGGGUAAGUGAUGUCAGCAGUUAACAUUUUUACUUUUAACUGUUUAAGAAGUACAGAAAAAACACCAAGUACUGAUAGGUUCUUUCUCUGGAAGACAGACAACUGACGUGAGUGAUGAAAAUGUGACCCUCUCCCACUGAUGCUGGUGAGGUGUCUAAAUUAAAGUGAAGCAGCAACGUGAACCUGUCUGAGCAUCCUCUCAUCUCCUGCUCAGUCAUGAGCUAUGUCCAGGCACAGUGAGCCUUGUACUUCUAAUUCCUUUCUGGCUGUUCCAGCUCAGUUCAAUUAUAAGAAGGAGGAAGAAAAAAGUGGCACUCACAUUUCUCUACCUGUUCUGACUGCCAGGGAGUAGAUAAUCUACAGUAGGGUAUGAAAUGUGGCGAUGAGAUGGCGUCUCCAAAAUUAAGUCUUCCUUGGUAAGCUGGUUUAGUCUUGUGGGCUCUGAGAAGCUUUAACCUGGUGCAUGGUAAUUUCUUGCUAGAGGGACCAGCACCCUGAAACCCUACCUGAAAGCCAUCUCUGUCAGAUCUGCUGACUUACAUUCUCUCACACCUCCCCUGAAUGGUUACUUCUGUCAUAACAAAAUUCAUAUGCCAGUGGUACUGUGAGUGUGCCUGUUACUGAACACUUUAAGCAAUCCUCCUGAACAAUGGUCAGCCUAUUGUAUAACCUGACAUACACAUAAAAAAAAAGCCAGAAUGUUUGUACUUAGGAUUUGGGAAAAGAAUCUAAUCCAUUAAGUGUGUCACUGCCUUUAUUACAUAUUUACUAUGGAUUUUGAGUAAAAAUUCAGAACACAGUUCAAUAUGUAGAAAAAUAAAAUUUUGGCAAACUAGUGUUUAUGGAAGUUAGAUUGUAUACUAGUAUUUUCCACAUGCACUUAACAGUGGAAUAUUUACAGAUAACAUUCUAAGAAGUCA
ensembl:lncRNA